AUUGAACGCUGGCGGAAUGCUUUACACAUGCAAGUCGAACGGCAGCACGGACUUCGGUCUGGUGGCGAGUGGCGAACGGGUGAGUAACAUAUCGGAACGUAUCCAAUAAUGGGGGAUAACUAAUCGAAAGGUUGGCUAAUACCGCAUACGCCCUGAGGGGGAAAGCUAGGGAUCUUCGGACCUGGCGUUAAUGGAGCGGCCGAUAUCUGAUUAGCUAGUUGGUGGGGUAAAGGCCCACCAAGGCGACGAUCAGUAGCUGGUCUGAGAGGACGACCAGCCACACUGGAACUGAGACACGGUCCAGACUCCUACGGGAGGCAGCAGUGGGGAAUUUUGGACAAUGGGCGCAAGCCUGACCCAGCCAUUCCGCGUGAGUGAAGAAGGCCUUCGGGUUGUAAAGCUCUUUCGCAAGGGAAGAAAACUUAUCCUCUAACAUAGGAUGAGGUUGACGGUACCUUGAUAAGAAGCACCGGCUAACUACGUG
rnacentral:rRNA from 1 species